CUUGGUCAUUUAGAGGAAGUAAAAGUCGUAACAAGGUUUCCGUAGGUGAACCUGCGGAAGGAUCAUUAGUGAAUUGAAUAUGUUAGCGGACCUCUUCGGAGUCCCUAGCAUCAAAUCAUAUCCAUAACACCUGUGAACUGUAAGGCUGUCUUGAAAACGAAAGUGAUUAGAGCGCCUGCCCAUUUUAUACAAACAUUAAAGUAACAAACGUAGUCUUAUUAUAAUCUAAUAAAACUUUCAACAACGGAUCUCUUGGCUCUCGCAUCGAUGAAGAACGCAGCGAAAUGCGAUAAGUAAUGUGAAUUUCAGAAUUCAGUGAAUCAUCGAAUCUUUGAACGCACCUUGCGCUCUUUGGUAUUCCGAGGAGCAUGCCUGUUUGAGUGUCAUGAAAAUAUCAACCUUGACUUGGGUUUAGUGCUCUUGUCUUGGCUUGGAUUUGGCUGUUUGCCGCUCGAAAGAGUCGGCUCAGCUUAAAAGUAUUAGCUGGAUCUGUCUUUGAGACUUGGUUUGACUUGGCGUAAUAAGUUAUUUCGCUGAGGACAAUCUUCGGAUUGGCCGAGUUUCUGGGACGUUUGUCCGCUUUCUAAUACAAGUUCUAGCUUGCUAGACAUGACUUUUUUAUUAUCUGGCCUCAAAUCAGGUAGGACUACCCGCUGAACUUAAGCAUAUCAAUAAGCGGAGGA
rnacentral:rRNA from 1 species